UGAACUGAGCGAAAGCUCUUUGGUUCACCGUAGACGGGAAGAAUUUCC
ncrna:unclassified sequences DTF3800-XI RNA